GACGAACGCUGGCGGCGUGCCUAAUACAUGCAAGUCGAGCGGACUUUCAAGAAGCUUGCUUUUUGAAAGUUAGCGGCGGACGGGUGAGUAACACGUGGGCAACCUGCCUGCAAGACGGGGAUAACUCCGGGAAACCGGGGCUAAUACCGGAUAAUAUCUUCCUUCGCAUGAAGGAAGGUUGAAAGGCGGCGCAAGCUGCCGCUUGCAGAUGGGCCCGCGGCGCAUUAGCUAGUUGGUGAGGUAACGGCUCACCAAGGCGACGACGCGUAGCCGACCUGAGAGGGUGAUCGGCCACACUGGGACUGAGACACGGCCCAGACUCCUACGGGAGGCAGCAGUAGGGAAUCUUCCGCAAUGGACGAAAGUCUGACGGAGCAACGCCGCGUGAGCGAAGAAGGUCUUCGGAUCGUAAAGCUCUGUUGUCAGGGAAGAACAAGUACCGUUCGAACAGGGCGGUACCUUGACGGUACCUGACCAGAAAGCCACGGCUAACUACGUG
rnacentral:rRNA from 1 species